rnacentral:tRNA from 1 species
GGGGUUGUGGUGUAGCCUGGCUAGCAUAUGAGGUUUGGGACUUCAUGACCCCGGUUCAAAUCCGGGCAACCCCA